GAAUUCACUAGUGAUUCAGGGGGGGCUCAUCCACCUCAAAAGGUAGAGAGAAGCUUGCUUCUCUUGAAAAAAAAGGACGGGUGAGUAAUGCCUAGGAAUCUGCCUGGUAGUGGGGGAUAACGUUCGGAAACGGACGGUAAUACCGCAUACGUCCUACGGGAGAAAGCAGGGGACCUUCGGGCCUUGCGCUAUCAGAUGAGCCUAGGUCGGAUUAGCUAGUUGGUGAGGUAAUGGCUCACCAAGGCGACGAUCCGUAACUGGUCUGAGAGGAUGAUCAGUCACACUGGAUUUGAGAAACGGUCCAGACUCCUACGGGAGGCAGCAGUGGGGAAUAUUGGCCAAUGGGCGAAAGCCU
rnacentral:rRNA from 1 species